rnacentral:sRNA from 1 species
UGAAUUCGGACCACCUUGUAUAUUUAAUA